rnacentral:misc_RNA from 1 species
AAAGUCGUAACAAGGUUUCCGUAGGUGAACCUGCGGAAGGAUCAUUAUUGAAGGGGAAGGAAACUUCCCCAAAAAGUAUGAAACCCUUGUCUAUGAGUACUAUCGUUUCCUCGGCAGGCUUGCCUGCCAAUGGGGACCCUUAUCAAUCUUUUAAUAAUGUUGUAACCGUAACCAAACAAAUAAUCAAAACUUUCAACAACGGAUCUCUUGGUUCUG